UUUUUUGUUGCCGAACGUCUCUAAUUUUUUUAUUUCUCGAUUUUAUUUGAUAUGUACAUGAGUUUACACUCGAUUUUAUCAGAUAAUAUUUUUAUGGGUUGUUUUUUGAAUCUAGUGGAAUAUUUAGGGGCGGGCCACAUGCGCGGCUUAUUUGAAAAAUGUCGGCGACGCCAAGAGAAGCGCGUAAAGGCGCAGAAUGCUAGUAUAUUUGCAUUGAAAUAUGUGGGGGCCUAAGACCCAUUUUUCAAGACGUCGAGCUCGAGGAGAGCUUCACGUGCAUGUAUGGUGGGUCCCGUAACUCUUUCCGGAUCGAAAGUUAUUCCCGAACGAAGUUCAGGAUCUCAAUUUCACUCGUGUUCAUCAACUAUAAUAGAAUAGAUUGUGGUUUUACUUACG
rnacentral:misc_RNA from 1 species